AAAAUUUUGAGUUUCCUUCUCUACAUAUUUAAAGGACUUUGUAAUGCAAACCUCAGGUGGCUUCACCCACAUUUGGCCAUCAUACCAUCCGCUCUCUUCGUAUGGAAUAACCGCAGAAAGUAAUCUAUCUCCAACAUAGCUCCAUCCCUAACAACAAAUAAGUCAAACUUCCUUGGAAUCCAUCAGAAAUUAUUGUAAGCUGGGAGAGGCAAGGGAAGUCUAUUAAAUACCAGAGAGAGGCUAAAAGGAUUCGAAGCUCACUCUGGAAGGAUUAAAGCUAGCAGCUGCGAUGGGAACACCAAGAACAGUGAAAGUCACAAGCCAAAGACCACCAA